rnacentral:rRNA from 1 species
CCUACGGGAGGCAGCAGUGGGGAAUAUUGCACAAUGGGGGAAACCCUGAUGCAGCAACGCCGCGUGAGCGAUGAAGGCCUUCGGGUCGUAAAGCUCUGUCCUACGGGAAGAAUAUUGACGGUACCUUAGGAGGAAGCCCCGGCUAACUACGUGGCCGCAGCCGGGGUAAUACGUAGGGGGCUAGCGUUAUCCGGAAUUACUGGUCGCAAAGGGUGCGCAGGCGGCACUUCAAUUCCAAGUUGAAAGGGUACGGAUAAACCGUAGUCAGCAUUUGAAACUGUAGGCCUUGUGUGAAGGUGAGUCGAGGGUAAUCCCCGGUUUAGCCGUGAAAUGCGUUGAUAUUGGGAGGAACACCAGUUGCGAAGGCGGCUCUCUGGAUUGUAACUGACGCUGAGGCACGAAAGCGUGGGGAGCGAACAGGAUUAGAUACCCGAGUAGUC